CUACCAGACUCCUACGGGAGGCAGCAGUGGGGAAUAUUGCACAAUGGGGGAAACCCUGAUGCAGCGACGCCGCGUGAGCGAUGAAGUAUUUCGGUAUGUAAAGCUCUAUCAGUAGGGAAGAAAAUGACGGUACCUGACUAAGAAGCCCCGGCUAACUACGUGCCAGCAGCCGCGGUAAUACGUAGGGGGCAAGCGUUAUCCGGAUUUACUGGGUGUAAAGGGGGCGCAGACGGCAGCGCAAGCCAGGAGUGAAAGCCCGGGGCCCGACCCCGGGACUGCUCUUGGAACUGCGUGGCUAGAGUGCAGGAGGGGCAGGCGGAAUUCCUGGUGUAGCGGUGAAAUGCGUAGAUAUCAGGAGGAACACCGGUGGCGAAGGCGGCCUGCUGGACUGCAACUGACGUUGAGGCCCGAAAGCGUGGGGAGCAAACAGGAUUAGAUACCCUAGUAGA
rnacentral:rRNA from 1 species